CAGGAAAGGCAGAAGCCCUAAGUCAUGCCAAACUGGGCAGAGGGAUCCUCCUCCUCUCAUCACUGAUAUAUCCUGCAGUGCUGUGCUUCUGUGCCAUUGAGCUGGACUGGUGAAUCUGCGAUGUGACAACCAAGAAACAACCCCAAUGAUGAAAUGUGAGCUUUGCUAGAGGAGAAGGACAUCAGUUAGGAAUGACUUUCAGCUGGUCUUCCCCCAUGUACAGACUUGAAUGGACAUUCCUGCUCCUCUGCUUGUGCACUCUUGUGGAAAUGAAGAUCAGGAGUCCCACAAGAGUGUUACUCUGAGAACAUUAGUAGUGCUGACCAGCUCAUAAAGUUUGCAGCCGUGUUGAGUGCUCAUAGCCUCCCAGAGUCAACUUCAUAUUCCAUCCCAUCAAUAUGUUGCUUCUGAAAACCCUAGCAAGCAAAAGAGGAAUAAAAAAAGAGGAGUUCAA